rnacentral:tRNA from 1 species
AGAAAUAAAGCUCAGUGAUAGAGAACUUGCUUAGAAGGCAAGCAGCCCUGGGUUUGAUCCCCAGGUUUCCA